GAUGAAGAACGCAGUGAAAUGCGAUAACUAAUGUGAAUUGCAGAAUUCCGUGAAUCAUCGAGUCUUUGAACGCACAUUGCGCCCCCUGGUAUUCCGGGGGGCAUGCCUGUCCGAGCGUCAUUACAACCCUCAAGCUCAGCUUGGUGUUGGGCCCCGCCGCCCCGGCGGGCCCUAAAGUCAGUGGCGGUGCCGUCCGGCUCCGAGCGUAGUAAUUCUUCUCGCUCUGGAGGUCCGGUCGUGUGCUCGCCAGCAACCCCCAAUUUUUUUCAGGUUGACCUCGGAUCAGGUAGGGAUACCCGCUGAACUUAAGCAUAUCAAUAAGCGGAGGA
rnacentral:misc_RNA from 1 species